CCGGCGAUUAGGAGGAGGUGUACGCGUCCACCGCCAAGGCCGAGAGGGAGCUCGGCUGGGGAGCCAAGUACAGGAUCGAGGAGAUGUGCAGGGACCAGUGGAACUGGGCCAGGAAGAACCCCUAUGGCUACUGCGGCAACGCCGAGAAGGAAGACUGAUGAUUUGAUCGUGCUACCGCCUUGGAUCGACCUCGUCAAUCGUGGCCUGAACCUUGUACUACCUGGAAUGUGAUGUUAAUAAUCCCAGGGCAAUCAAGUGUGCCCCUAAAAUGUUUCAUGUUA